GGGCUCACACAAGCGGUGGAGGAUGUGGCUUAAUUCGAGGCUACGCGAAGAACCUUAUCCUAGAUUUGACAUGCUUGAGAAUUUCUUCGAAAGAAGAAAGUGCCCCUCGGGGAGCUUUUGCACAGGUGCUGCAUGGCUGUCGUCAGCUCGUGUCGUGAGAUGUCGGGUUAAGUCCCUUAACGAGCGAAACCCUUAUCUCUAGUUGCCAGCGGGUAAUGCCGGGGACUCUAGAGAGACUGCCGGUGUCAAACCGGAGGAAGGUGGGGAUGACGUCAAGUCCUCAUGGCCUUUAUGUCUAGGGCUGCACACGUCCUACAAUGGUACGGACAAACGGACGCUAAACCGCGAGGUGGAGCAAAUCCUAAAAACCGUGCCCCAGUUCGGAUUGCAGGCUGCAACUCGCCUGCAUGAAGCCGGAAUCGCUAGUAAUCGC
rnacentral:rRNA from 1 species